UGCGAGCGUGACGGCGCGAGCAGGUGCGAAAGCAGGUCAUAGUGAUCCGGUGGUUCUGAAUGGAAGGGCCAUCGCUCAACGGAUAAAAGGUACUCCGGGGAUAACAGGCUGAUACCGCCCAAGAGUUCAUAUCGACGGCGGUGUUUGGCACCUCGAUGUCGGCUCAUCACAUCCUGGGGCUGAAGUAGGUCCCAAGGGUAUGGCUGUUCGCCAUUUAAAGUGGUACGCGAGCUGGGUUUAGAACGUCGUGAGACAGUUCGGUCCCUAUCUGCCGUGGGCGCUGGAGAACUGAGGGGGGCUGCUCCUAGUACGAGAGGACCGGAGUGGACGCAUCACUGGUGUUCGGGUUGUCAUGCCAAUGGCACUGCCCGGUAGCUAAAUGCGGAAGAGAUAAGUGCUGAAAGCAUCUAAGCACGAAACUUGCCCCGAGAUGAGUUCUCCCUGAGACUUAG
rnacentral:rRNA from 1 species